AGGAAUCAUCAGGUGGUGAAUAAUUUCGAAAUUGUUGGUUGCUUUUAUGCUAUCGAUAGCAUAAAAGCAACCAACAAUUUCGAAAUUAUUCACCACCUGAUGAUUCCUA